UCCGUAGGCGGUGUGGCAAGUCGGGAGUGAAAUCUCUGGGCUUAACCCAGAGGCUGCUUCCGAAACUGCUGUGCUAGGAGUGUGAGAGAGGCGAGUGGAAUUGCGGGUGUAGCGGUGAAAUGCGUAGAUAUCCGCAGGAACAUCCGAGGCGAAAGCGGCUCGCUGGAUCACAACUGACGCUGAGGGACGAAAGCUAGGGGAGCAAACAGGAUUAGAUACCCUGGUAGUCCUAGCCCUAAACCAUCAGGACUUGGGGUUUGCCCUGUACGGGGCAAGUCCCGUAGCUAACGCGUUAAGUCCUGCGCCUGGGGAGUACGGUCGCAAGACUGAA
rnacentral:rRNA from 1 species